CUAUCUAUUUUAUUCCCCCAUAUUUAUACGGUUAUGUUUGUUUGGUUUUAGGUUGGGGUGACCGCGGAGUAUAAAACAACCUCCACGAAGAAAAGACUAAUAAUCUUUAUCAGAGAAAGACAUUUCUAAGAAAUAAUAUAUUAACUUUAAAUGAUCCGAUAUUCGAUUAACGAAUCAAGUUACCCUGGGGAUAACAGCGCAAUCCACCUUAAGAGCCCUUAUCGACAGGUGGGUUUACGACCUCGAUGUUGGAUCAGGGUAUCACAGUGGUGCAGCAGCUACUAAUGGUUCGUUUGUUC
rnacentral:rRNA from 1 species